CGAGUGGGGAGUUCCGCCUGCUGCUCAAUGGAGUAACAUACAAAUUCUGUGGCUGCCUUUAAUUCUUCCUUUUCCCCAGUUUAAUCCUUGAAUUAUUCAACUUUUAUUUUCUGGAUCUUGGAGGGAAAUAGCGGUUAUUAUGUCGUAUCCUUUAAGAAGUGGAAAACAGCCUUUUGAACUCAGCAAUGGAAAGGGAAAAACUUCGAAAGAAAAAUCAGAAGACAUGCCCUGUCUGGGCUGAGCGUUUGGAACGCAUGUUGAUGGAUCUUGAUAAUAAAAUGGAUAAUAACACUUCUGAGUUGAAGUAGUUCCGACUGAGUUUACAGACUAUUGAGGAAAAUAUUCUUUCCCUGAAUACUGAGCUUAAAGAAUCGAAAUGUCAGAUUGCGGAUAUUUCAACCCGACUUGAACAGGCUCAACGCAAAAUUGUCGAUUUAGAGACAAAGUCUCGGAGAAACAACAUUCAUAUUUUAGGUCUUCCGGAAGGUUCAGAAUCUGGAGAUCUAUUGGAUUAUUUUGCCAAUAUGUUUCAAUCUCUGUUCCCGGAUAUUCUAUCUCAGCCUCUCGAUAUUGAAAGAGUGCACAGAAUUUUCACUGCGUCAGGCAUCGCUGGACCUGCUGGGCAUUUCGAAUAUCCUCAUAUUGGUUUGAGGUUCCAGUAACAGGUAACUUUCCCCUCAGCCUACACCACUCCAGAGGAAAAGGACAUCAGAGGUUUGUCCAGCCUCGGUUCCAGGAGCAGAUAUCUGGUCAAGAUGGCGCCAGCCAACAAUGAUUCCUCGGGCAACAUCUUCCAGAUAGCCGAUAUCUUCAUUUAUUUCACUUUCUCUACAUCUCCUGCUUGUUCUUUUUAUCUUGAUUGUGUUUCGGAAACUGUUGGAGCCUGUGACGUGCAGUUUGGAAUUCAAUCAAUUGAUCUAGCGCUCUGCUGUCACCAGAGAGGACCAAAAGCAUGAACAUGAGCUGCUUCGUGCAGAAGUCAAAGAUAGGGUCCCAGAGAGGACCAAGAGCACAAGCUGCCUCAUGCAGAAGACCAGAGGCUGGCGAAGGUCAUUUCGAAGUAUAGAGGAAGAUUGAGGCAUUGAGGCAGAUGCGGAGGAGGUCGGCAGUCGUUCUCCAUGGAGGCCAUGGUGUCGAUGGCAGUUGGUAUCUAGGUCAGCAGUGUUCAGACCCGACGUGGCAAUCGGUCUUCAUGGAAGGACUGAGUACGUGCAGUCGCACUUCUCGAUGCUGACGGGAAGAUAUUUUCCAAAUUCUGAGACUUAUGUGUUUAUUAGACUGUAGUUUAUAUUCGUCUCCUUCAGUUUUUUUGUGUUUUCUUUCUUGUUACCACUCUGGAUAAUUUAAACUAGAGUGGCAGGAUGUGGGGCCCUGAGUAAUGGAGUGGAUGAUGUGUACUGUAGCCAAUGAGAGCAAGUUUAGUCAUCAGGAUACACAGGAGGAAUGGGAGAGCAAAGACCAUUAGUUAAAACUUCAUUUCUUUCGAUGCAAGUGGCUUAACAGGUGAGGUGGGUGAACUCAGUGUGGAUUGGCUCUGGGGACUGGAAUAUCAGAGCACUAACCGGAAAUGGCAGGACUGGUAGCUCAAUAUUCCAGGAUACAGAUGCUACAGGCAUGACAGUAGUGCAGGGAAGAGAGGGGAGGAGUUUCCUUCCUGACGAAAUGAAUCUCCAGGUAGCAUAUACAUACUUUGAUAAUAAAUUUACUUUGAACUUUGAUGAAAGAGAAUAUAACAAUGGUUCUUGGAGAAAUAUUCUUGAAGAGUCAUCCAUCAGGCCAUGUGGGUAGAACUUAGAAACGAAAAGAGGACGGUCAUUCUGAUGGGAUUGUAUGAUAGGCGUCUAGUAUUCAUUGGGAAUUGGAGGAGCAGAUCUGUGGAGAGAGUACAGCUUGUUCUAAACAUAAUAGGGCAGAUUAUUGGGAGAUUUUACCUUCCCUGACAUUGACUAGGCCAAAACCAGUGUAAGAAGUUUGGAUGGAGUAGAAUUUGUUACAUGCGUCCUUAAUUAGGAUUAAGGUGAAUCCCAAGGCAUUCUAUACCUACAUCAAGAACAAGAGCAUAACUAGGGAAAGGGUAGGACCACUCAAGGAUAAAGUGGGGGGCAUUUGUGUGGGUGCAGAGAAUGUUAUGAGGUAGUUAAUGAGUACUUUGCUGCAGUAUUUACCAAGGAAAAGGAUACGGAGGACCAAGAGAUCAGUGCUGAGUGUAUAAAUAUGUCAGGGCAUUUAGAAGUCAAGGAAGAUGAUGUAUUGUGCCUCCUAAUAAACAUUAAGGUGGAUAAGUCCCCGGAGCUGAUGGGAUUCACCCCAGGUUAUUGAAGGAGGCAAGAGACAAGAUUUCAGGGGCUUUGACCAUAUCUUCAUGUCUUUAGCCACAGGUGAGGUCCCAGAGGGCUGGCGAGUGGCUAAUGUUGUACCUCUAUGAAGGGAACAAGGGAAAAUCCUGGGAACUAUAGACUGGUGGGUGCCAUGUCAGUUGGAGGGAAAUUGCUGGAGAAAAUCCUUAGGGAUAGGAUAUAUGAGCAUUUGGAAACCCGUAGCCUAAUUCGGGAGAGCCAGCAUGGUUUUAUACGUGGUAGGUUGUGCCUUACCAACUUGACUGAGUUUUUUGAAAACAUGUUGGGAAAGAUUGAUGAGGGUAGGGCUACAUGGAUUUUAGUAAGGCAUUUGAUAAAGUCCCUCAUCCAAGGCUAAUGCAGAAGAUUAAGAUGCAUGGGAUCUGUGGCAAAUUGGCUGUUUGGAUUCAGAAAUGGCUUGCACAUAGAAGACAUAGGGUAAUGGUUGAAGGGGCUUAUUUGAGCUGGAGGUCUGUAAUUACUGGAGUUCCACAGGAAUCUGUGCUGGGACCUCUGAUGUUUGUGAUGUAUAUAAAUGACCUGGAUGAAAAUAUAAAUGGGUGGGUUAGUAAGUUUGUAGAUGUUACCAAGACUGAUGGAGUUGUGGAUAAUGUAGAAAACUGGCAAAGAAUACAGAGUGAUGUAGAUCAGUUGCAGAUAUGGGCAGAGAAAUGGCAGAUGGAGCUUAACCCAGAUAAAUGUGAGGUGUUGUACCUCGGUAGCGCAAAUGCAAUGAGACAGUAUACUGUUAAGGACAAGAUCCUUAAUAGUAUGACCAGGGAACCAAGUUAAGAAGGCAUACGGAAUGUUUGCUUUUAUUAGUUGAGGUAUUGAGUUCAAAAGUCAGGAAGUUAUGUUGCAAGUUUAUAAAACUCUGGUUAGGGCACAUCUGGAGUAUUGCAUAUGGUUCUGAUCACCCCACUAUAGGAAGGAUGUUAAGGCUUUGGAGAAGGUGCAGAAGAGUUUCACCAGGAUGCUGUUUGGUUUAGAGGGCAUGUCCCAUCGCCAGAGGCUGGAUAAACUUGGGUUGUUUUCUCGAGGGUACCAGAGGCUAGGGGAAGAUCUGAUAGAGGUUUACAAGAUUAUGAGAGUCAUAGAGAGAGUGGACAGAGAGUAUCUGUUUCCCAGUGUUGAAAUGUCUAAUACCAGAGGGUAUGCACUGAAGGUGAGAGGGGUAGGUUCAAGGGAGGUAAGAGGGGUAAGUAUUUUACUCAGAGAGUGGUGGAUGUCUGGAAUGUGCUGCCUGGUUUGGUGGUCCAGGCAAAUACAUUGGAGGCUUUUAAGGGAUAUUUGGAUAGGCACAUGGAUGUAAGGAAAAUGGAGGGAUACGGACAUGGUGCAGGUAGGAGGGAUUAGCGUUUGGUGUUUUUGAUUUGCUUUUUAGUGGUUCACCACAACAUUGUGGGAUGAAUGGCCUGUUUCUGUGCUGUACUGUUCUAUGUGUCCAAGAUAUCAAAGCUCGAACUGGAGAGGGUGCAACGCUGGACAUCCUCCUGCAGAGUGAGGUAGGGCAAGUGGCAGAAGUGUUUGUCAGUUCACACGCUGGGCCCGGUGACCAUCAUUCUUUUAGUUUUAACAUAGUUAUGGAGAAGGAUACGGUCAGUUUACAGGUUAAGGUCUUGAACUGCGGCAGAGCAAAUUUUGGCGCCAUUUAGCAGGAUCUUGCACAGGUUGACUGGGUGAGAUUGCAGUGAAAAGAGCAGCUGUCAAGUGGGAGGCUUUUUAAAAUAUUAUAUUGAGAGGUGGGGUCUCAUCUUCUUGUUAGGGUCUUACUCCAGGUCACCCAACCCCUUAUACCUUGGCCCCUUUACAUCAGGGAUAUUCCAUUCCUGUAUUGCUUUUAUUGCAAGAUCCUGCCAGCUUUCUGGCUAGCAAAGAUGCUGCUGUGUUUCAUGAUGCUUUUGGUGUCCGUUUUGUUCUUGAUGUUUAUGAAACUGCUAACCAAAGAUCUUGGAAGCCUGCAGGACUCUGACUCUGCAGUGAAGUAUUUAACAAAAGUUAAAAUUCAUCUGUAUUUAUUGUGAGAAGCUUCAGCCAGAAGGAACAAAAUGUUGUAGACUCUGCAAUGGCUGCAUGGAGAACUGCAAUCACCACUGCCUCCUCCUAAUGAAAUGUGCAGCAAAAAGGAAUCAGAGACUCUUUGUUCUGUUCCUCCUGGAGAUCCCCACCUCACACUUAACCCUCAUUACAUUGACUCUAUAUUCCUUACAACUUCAGUACAGCCUGAACUUUGAGGUGUUCCCAAAAGUCUUCAGUGGCCAGCCUUAGGUGAUGGGACUGACGCUGAUGAAUGUCACCAUGGUCUUGUUCGAGCUUGUCUUGCUAAAGAGUCAUCUGGUGGCAAUCACUGUGAACUCCACAACAACACACAGGGGCAGGGUGGACACCAUUUGGGAAACAUCACAGUCCACCUCAUCUUGCAGAAGAGGCCCCAGCGCAGCUGUAGGAAUCUCAUCCUAGUUUUAAACAGCUGAACUGAAAAGUGUUCGAAAUCCAAGCACAUCUUAAGGGGGAAGGAUAGAGAGAUCAAAGAUGAUGGGGUGGAAACCAAGACUGAAUGAUACAAGUGAUGGUGCUGGCUAAGAGAGGGAAGUGAAUCACAGCUGAUCUGCCUGAGGAAGGUCUAAAGGAGAAAGCAGAUGAAAGAAAGGGAAAGGCAGUGAAAAUUUGCUGGAACACUCUCUUAUAAAGAAAUGAAAGGGUUAAUAUAUGAGGAGUGUUUGAUGGCUCUGAGCCUGUACUUUCUGACAUUUAGUAAAAUGAGGGGGAAUCUCUUUGAAACCUAUCAAAUAUUGAAAGUCCGAGAUAGACCGGACAUGGAGAGGAUGGUUUCUGUAGUGGGGAGUCUAGGACCAGAGGGCACGGCCUCAGAAGAGAAUAGGAGGAGGAAUUUCUUCAGCCAGAGGAUGAAAUUCAUUGCAACAGAUGGCUGUGGAGGACCAGUCGUUGGAUGUACUUACAGCUGAGGUUGAGAGACUCUUGAUUAGUCAGGACAUCGAAGGUUACAGGAAGUAGGCAGGAGAAUGAGGUUGAGAGCGAUAAUAAAUCAGCCAUGAUGGAAUGGCACAGCAGUCUCAAUGGGCUGAAUGGCCUGAUUCUGCUCAUAUGUCUUAUAAUCUUAUAGGGUGAAGGACAAGGCUGGCAGGUUUCAGAAACCCUGAAUGACUCCAGUAUUGGGACUCUGGUUAAGAAGAAAUGGGAGGCAUAACUAGUGAAUCACUUGAUGCCUAAAAGAAGAGAAAGAGUACACUUGAAAUGAGAGUUGCAGCAGGAUGGGGACCAGAGUACCAGGGCAAAUAGUAGAGUGCUUGUGAGGAACUAUGUUAUUAAGCCUUGAUACAAAGACAGGAAUUGAAAGGUUGGGCAUGGUGGGAAUAACGUUCUGAGUUGCAUCUACUUCAAUGCAAGGAAUAUUGUAGGUAAAGUGGAUGAGCUUAGGGCAUGGAUCAGCACAUGGCAUUGUAGCCAUUAGUGAGACUUGGUUGCAGGAGGAGCAGGACUGGCAGGUCAAUGUUUUGGGGUUCCAUUGUUUUAGACAUGAUGGGAGAGGUGGUACUACUAGUCUGGGAAAAUGUCAUAGCAGUGCUGAGACAGGACAGACUGGAGAACUUGUCUCGUGAGGCUUUAUGGAUGGAACUGAGGAAUAAGAAAGGGAUGACCAUGUUAAUGGGAUUAUAUUAUACACCACCCAAUAGUCAGCAAGAUUUAGUGGAUCAAAGUCGUAGAGAAAUCACAGACAACCUGGUGGUAGGGUUCCCUGAUGAUGGAUGCUGCUUUCCUGCGACAGAGUUUCAUGUAGAUGUGUCAGUUGUUGGGAAGGCUUUACCCAUAAUGGACUGGGUCACAUCCACUACUUUUUGUAGGAUUUUCCAUUCAAAGGCUUGCUUUUUCCAUACCAGACUGUGAUACAGCCAGUCAAUAUACAUCUAUAGAAGUUUUCAAAGUUUUGGAUAUCAUGCCAAAUCUCCACAAACCUUGGAAUUUAAAGUUGCUAAUGCUCUCCUCUGAUGAGGACUGGCUCAUGGACCUCUGGUUUCCUUCUCCUGAAAUCUAGAACCAUCUCCUUGGUCUUGCUGACAUUGAGUGAGAGGUUGGUGUUGUGGCACCACUCAGCCAGGUUUUCAAUCUCUUUCCUAUAUGCUGAUUCUUCAUUCCCUUUGAUUCGGCCUACAACAGUGGUGUCGACAGGUUAACGAAGACAUGGAUGUUGAAAGUCCCGAAUCACUGAUGAUGUGUCACAGCGCACACCAGGUUAAUAAAGGCAAGUAAUGUUGGACCAGGUAAGUGAAGGUCUGGGCCAGAUCAAAGUGGCAGCGUCAAGGGAUACUGAAUCUCCAAUAAUGAGGUUAAGAAAGAAAGGCAGGAUAAUUUUCCCACUGGCUACAUAAUUACAUUCAAACCAAAAGUGACAUGCUUUUCAUUAUCACGAAACACCAAUAAUAAAAUGAGGUACCAAGACGGCAAGAAAGACCCAGAAAGUUAAACCCACGCUGGGACCACAUAAAACACGUCACCACUAAACUACACACAGGGUCUCUAAGCAAUGGGCUGCAAUAAUCCAACCUCCCUCACAACCCCUUAGCAUAUUCAUAACCCAAAACCUUAAAACAGAUGUAAGAAGGAGAAAGAUCCCAAUAAAGGCAAGUGGUGUUGGGCCAGAUUAGUGAAGGUGUGGGCCAGAUCAAAGUGGCAGGGUCGACUGAUACUGAAUCUCCAGCAACAAGAUGAAGAAACACAGGAGGGAUAAUUUUCCCACUGCCUGCAUAAUUACAUGCAAAAAACAGAAACAUCCAGUGAGCAGCAGUUCUGCAGGCAAAAAUGCCUAGUUAAUGAGAGAGAACAGAAGAGAACUCUGAAAACUUGUGCCAACCAACUGGCGGGAGUAUUCAAGAACAUUUUCAACCUCUCACUGCUACGGGCGGAAGUUCUCACUUGCUUCGAAAAGGCAACAAUUAUACCAGUGCCUCAGAAGAAUAAUGUGAGCUGCCUUAAUGACUAUUGCCCGGUAGCACUCCCAUCUACAGUGAUGAAAUGCUUUGAGAGGUUGGUCAUGACUAGACUGAACUCUUGCCUCAGCCAUUGGACCCAUUGCCAUUUGCCUAUCACCACAAUAACUCAACGGCAGACGCUAUCUCAAUGGCUCUUCACAUGGCUUUAGACCAACUGGACAACACAAACACCCAUGUCAGGAUGCUGUUCAUUGACUAUAGCUCAGCAUUUAAUACCAUCAUUCCCACAAUCCUGAUUGAAAAGUUGCAGAACCUGGGCCUCUGUACCUCCCUCUGCAAUUGGAUCCUCAACUUCCUAACCGGAAGACCACAAUCUGUGCAGAUUGGUGAUAAUAUCUCCUCCUCGCUGACGAUCAACACUGGUGCACCUCAAGGAUGUGAGCUUAGCCCACUACUCUGCUCUCUCUAUACCCAUGACUGUGUGUCUAGGCAUAUCUCAAAUACCAUCUAUAAAUUUGCUGAUGAUACAACUAUUGUUGGUAGAACAUCCAAUGAAGAUGGGAGGACAUACCGGAGUGAGAUAUGCCAACUAGUGGAGUGGUGUUGCAGCAAACAACCUUGCACUCCUUGUCAGCAAGAUGAAAGAGCUGAUUGUGGACUUCAGGAAGGGUAAGAUGAAGGAACACAUAUCAAUCCUCAUAGAGGGAUCAGAAGUGGAGAGAGUGAGCAGUUUCAAGUUCCUGGGUCUCAAGAUCUCUGAGGACCUAACCUGGUCCCAACAUAUCAAUGCAGCUAUAAAGAAGGCAAAACAGUGACUAUACUUCAUUAGGAGUUUGAAGGGAUUUGGUAUGUCAACAAAUACACUCAAAAACCUUUACAGAUGUACUGUGGAGAGCAUUCUGAUAGGCUGCAUCACUCUCUGGUAUGGGGGAGCUACUGCACAGGACCAAAAGAAGCUGCAGAGGGUUGUAAGUUUAGUCAUCUCCAUCUUGGGUACUAGCCUACAAAGUACCCAGGACAUCUUCAAGGAGCAGUGUUUCAGAAAGGCAUUGUCCAUUAUUAAGGACCUCCAGCACACAGGGCAUGCCCUUUUCUCACUGUUACCAUCAGGUAGGAGGUACAGAAGCCUGAAGGCACACACUCAGCGAUUCAGGAACAGCUUCUUCCCCUCUGCCAUCCGAUUCCUAAAUAGACAUUGAACCCAUGAAUAUAUAUUUUUUUAAUAUAUAUUAUUUGUUUUUGCAUGAUUUUUAAUCAAUUUAAUAUACAAAUACUGUAAUUGAUAUAUUUUUUUUAAUUCUAUAUUACAUAUUGCAUUGAACUGCUGCUGCUAAGUUAACAAAUUUCACAACACAUGCCGGUGAUAAUAAACCUGAUUCUGAAUGGCCAGACUGGUUCUCGCUGACAGGAAGUUAACAGCGUAUCAAAUAACCACGUAUUGCAACAGUGGUGUGCAGAAGAGUAUCUCUGAAUGCACAACACAUCAAAUCUUAAAGUGGAUGGGCUACAGUGACAGAAGACUACGAACAUACAGAAGUACUUUCAAUGACUGCUUUAUUAGGUCUCUUCUGUACCCAAUAAAGUGGCCACUGAGUGUAUAUCCCGUCCCUUAGAGUAUCCUCCAACGACCUGCCAACUGCUGACAUCAGGCUAACUUAAACAACGGAACAAUCCUCCAGCACCUCAUUUUAAAUACCUCUGCAGCUUCCACAUUAGCCUUCCUCAAGGUCUGAAGGAACACCUUGUCAGGACCUGUGGAUUAAUCCACUCUAAUUUUCCUAAAAACAACAAGCAUCUCCUCCUCUGUAGUCAGUACAUGGCCCAUGGUUUGCCUCAGUUUAAUAGAUUCUGUGUCUCUCUCCCAACUAAGUACAGAUGCAAAAGAUCCACUGAAGAUCUCCCCCAACUCUUUCAGCUGCAUGCACAGAUGACCACACUGAUCUUCAUAAGGACCAAUUUUGUCUCAUUCACAUUGUCUGCCAGAGCAACCUAAUGUCUUCUUUUAGUCCUCCUCAUUUCCCUCAUUUCUUAUACUCCUCAAGCACCUCAUAUGUUCCUUGCUACCUGUGCCUGCUAUGCUCCUCCUUCUGUCAUGAUAGUUUGAUUUUUUUUUGUUGUUGGCUAGAAAGUGCGGCAGUCUACAAAUCAGUGAAUUCAAAUGAAUCAAGGACAGUGGAAAGCAGACAGACCAAUUGUCUUUGUUCUUGCCGUGUGCUUGGGGAUGGAGGCUGCCAUUUUCUGAAGACACUCUUUUCUCCAUUUUCGAGCUUGACAUGCUGGGCUUGAUCAAUGUUUUAAAGAAGACACAAUGAUACUUAAGGUAAUCUGCUGGACUGGAGAUCAUUUCCAAAUAUGAAGUUAUUUGUGAGAUGUUCUUUGGUUGGAUAUAAUACAGGUUUGUGAAUGUUGGGGUUGAUGCUUGUUGCUGAUUGAGGGGUUUCUUCUUUUAUGUUAACUGCAUAGGCUAAUUAAAAUGGCUUCUUUGUUAUGUUAUAAUUAAACUGGCUUCUUUGUUAUGUUAAAUGUUGAGAAAGUCCUUCCGCUAGCACUUUGUUUUGGAUUAUCUAUUGAUAAGAGAACGAAUGAUCCAAUUGUGAUAGUUGUUAUGCUUUCGUGUGUGUCUGUAAGAUAUUGUGAUGCGCGGGCUUUUUAGGGGAGAAGGCGGGAGAGAGAGACAGAGGAUGGACCAGGUGCUGUGAGUCCGCUAACGGGGUCGGACGCCGAGCAGGAGUCUGAGGUCCAGGGUGUUCGGCAAGGAGAGGAGACGGACUCGUGUGGAGCGUCUGGUCGACCACCAUUGUUGGUCCCAGGCGGCAGGUGGAGGUGGUCCGAGCGGUCGCAGGGUGAAGAAGGGUCCUGAGCUCCAACUGUUUGUGCACGAAGAGAUUGAACUUGGAUAAGUGUGGCGCCUUUUAUUUUCCUUUUAUAUUUUAUUCCCUAUUAAUUAUAUAGUUCCAGUAAUAUCUAUAAACUGUAAAUCAUUUAAUUGUAUCUGGUGUAUUGUCUGUUAUUUGGGCGGGGUGGGGUACAUCACACAGCAUCCACACAAACUAAUUACCCAGUUUGGCGGGGCCGAGGGCUGUUUCCCUAGACGACAGCGAGCCGAGAGACCCUGAGGCUGGCCAGGGGUCUACAUUUGGAGGCUUUUGUCCAGGAUUGGAUCUAGUGGUAUGCUGUGUGGCUUCCCUGUUUAAAUCAGUAACUUGUGUCUCUGUGGGUUAUUUGCUGGUUAUUGCUGCAUGCAUGGUGGGUGAGGUCUUUGUUCGAGUUCAGACUAGCGUUGACGAGUUGGGGGUGGGACUCGGGGCUGUCCAUGCUGUUGGGAGAGAGAGGAAAGAGUGGUCUGAUUUGGAGGUAGUGUCUGCGAAUAAAUGUUCUAGCUCUGGCAGGCUCUGCCUGGCAUUUGAGAUAGUGUCCACCCUAAGGGGGGGGCGGAGGCGUGCGAGACAUGGGUGGAGCGGAUCUCUCAGUUGUUAGAUGAGUGGCAGUGCUCGGUUGAGGGAGAGCGACAGGGAUUGGUUGAAAGUUUAAGUAGGCCGGCUGGUGAUGGUGUUAGCACUGUCAGGUUCAAUUACACCGUAGUGACAGCUGUCAGUUAUUUGAAAGAGGGGGGAAAGUUUUCAGGGGAUCAGCUCCUCUUUCAGUUGUUCAGCUGAUCAGAGAGGUGUCGGGAAACUUAGUGGAGGCCUAGUGGGGGAACGGCUUGGGGUCUCUGGAGGAGCACAUUCCCAGCAAUGUACCAAUGAACUUCCAAAAGGAGAAGACCCUAUUCCUGAAGGCUUAGAGGGUCCACACCCCAGGGUGUCGUUAUGGAUAGAUGGAAGCGAUGUUAAAGCCAUCCUUGACCCCAGGGCGCAGGUCAAGUUGUUGUACAGUUCGUUUUACAACCAGUAUCUGAAGCAUUUACCCUUGACAACUGCAAGGGCACUGGAGAUUUUGGGUACCAGUGCCAGUAAUUAUCCAGAAGAGGAUGAUUGAUUAAUGACCCUGGAGUUCACGGGAGCAUUGACUGGGCACCCAGCGUGUCGAGUUGCUUCUGAGGACGUGUGUAGCAGCCUUGAGCUGGUACCGAAUUUAUACGAGACCCAGCUGCGGUACGGCCUGGGGGAAGUAGCAGAGGGUGAGACCCUCUUAGUAGGCGCUCUGAACUACCACAAGGAAGGGGAGUCGACCACUGAAGACACCUCAGAGAGAGAGAGAGGUCGUGGUGACUGGACCCUGGCGCCGUGGAAGACGGAGGCAGCGUGUGUGCGGAUUAUGUGACUUGGUUUAAUGUGCUGGGUCUGAGGAGUGGAUGUUGCCAGAUCCCGAGGAGCGCAGCUGUCGAGCCAAAGACGGCCGUUAUUAGUUCCCCAGGAUUCUUCCAAUCCGAACAGAUGCCCAAGGGCAUAUCUGGAGCCCCUGCAUCCUUCCCGCGGGGCAUGAGGAAGACCAUGGGGGACGUGAAGGUGUGUGGAGUUUUAGCGUAUAUGGAUGACUGCCUAGAGCUUGGAUUCGCCUGGGGGGACUAUGAGGCGAGGCCAGUGGCUGAGCCUGGGCGACAGAAGCAAAGUGUCAAAUGUGGAGGAGUUUUUGGCCGGAGGAGUUUGGUGCAAUGUGAGAAAAUUGACCUGACAUACCAGUUGAACUUCCUGGUAUUGGAACAGACGGCGGUGGACAUGGGGAUGGAAACCCAAGUCGUCAAUCGGAAUGCGACACGGGAGAGAGGGGAUUUGCUCCGCUGAACUGAAAGCUCAGAAAUGCAGGCCGGAGACAGAGUGCCGCUCUUGCGGGACGACAAUUGCAGACCUGGAAUUCACGCUCGUCAAACUGGAGAAGGAGAAACGGAAUUCCGAGUCAACACUGCGGUCAUGUACUGAUGAAUUAAUCCAGAAAAGAUUGGAAGACUUACAAGUUGGGGAAGAUCAAGGAAGCGUUCUGACUAAGGCCAACAGAAAACCGAGAGCCCAGGGAGGGGAGUUCGACUACACUCCUGAGGAGGUGAAGAAAUGGAGGACAGAUCUCGGAAAAGGGAGGCGGACGCUUGAAAGGGACCUGAAGAUGAAUAUCGACAGUUUAAAUGAAGUGAAAAAACUGAAAGUUGACCUGGAAGAAGUCAUCAGGAGGAAACAACCGGAGGCUGAACACCCUUUAACUGCUGCUUUUCAGGUCAGGGUGGAAGAAGCUGGUGGGGUAACUGCGUCCCAGAUUGAGAUGGCCAAGAACCGUGAGUCAGAACUGCUGAGGCUGUGGCGAGAGUUGAAGGAGUCCCCGAAGAAGCUGAUGUCUCGACUGCAGGAGGCUGAAGGGGUAAGCUCCGGCUAAGUGCUUCAGUUUGAAGAAACUCAAACAGCAGCUGCCGAGCGAGGGAAUGAGGAAGAAUACGGAUUCGAAGGAUGAUGUGCUGGACAUGUGGUACAUGCUACCUUUCGCUAACUUCCCUGUGAUUGAGGAAGAGACCUUUGGCCCUUCUCCCACUGAAUCAGGUAUAGCGGGGAGGGCUAGCUGUGGGCAGUCUGGGUUACAGCAGGACCAGGAAGGAAAAGAAGCGGGGCCCCGGACACGGGACAGGGGGCUCCAAGUUGUAGUGGUGGCAUGAGUGAGAGAGGAGUUGGCAAGCAGACCAGAGGUAUCCCUAGUAGUGUCUGAGCCUUUAGGGUUUAGGUGUGGGAGUACGAAGGACUCGGAGUAUUAGGAAGCUCCCAGAUAGGUUGGCCUAUGUUGCUCCCGUGGACGGGCGGAAGGUCCACUGUUUGGAGAGAACAAUGUCGCUGUGGGUUUUUGUGUCUGUAGGACUGGUUGGGGAGUUAUUUAGAAGUCAUGAGGGCAUGACUGUUGUUUGGUCGGGGGGGGAAAGAGUGUAAGAGGUGUCUUCUUUUAUGUUAACUUUGUAGGCUAAUUAAACUGGCUUCUUUGUUAUGUUAAAUGCUGAGAAAAUCCUUGCGCUAGCAAUUAGUUUUGGAUUAUCUAUUGAUAAGAGAACGAAUGAACCAAUUGCAAUAGUUGUUAUGCUUUCUGUGUGUCUGUAAGAUAUUGUGAUGCGCGGGUUUUUUUAGGGGAGAAGGCAGGACAGAGAGACAGAGGAUGGACCAGGUGCUGUGAGUCCGCUAACAGGGUCGGACUCUGAGCAGGAGUCCGAGGUCCAGGGUGUUCGGUGAGGAGAGGAGACAGAGACGGACUCACGUGGAGUUUCUGGUCGACCACCGUUGUUGGUCCCAGGCGGCAGGUGGAGGUGGUCCGAGGGGUCGCAGGGUGAAGAAGAAGGGUCCUGAGCUCCAACUGUUUGUGCACGAAGAGAUUGAACUUGGAUAAGUUUCACGCUUUGUGGCUACCUGUGAGCAAGCAAACCUCAAGGGUGUAUAAUUUAUACAUUCUUUGAUAGUAAAUGAACCCUGAUCACAACUCAACCUUCAACACCAUAAUAUCAAGUAAGUUCAUUACUAAGCUCUUGAAUUUUGGACUUGCCUGCUCCAUCUACAACUGGCUUCGUGACUUCCUGAUCAGUAGACCUGAGUCAGCCCAAAUUGGUCACAACGUUUCAUCCACCCUGAUCCUUGUGUGCCUGCUCCCCUGCUCUCCUCCCUGUGUGCUGGUGACCAUUUGGCCAGGUGCUGCACCAACUCGAUGACACCACUUUUAUAGGCUGGAUCAGCAACAACAGGAAAGAGAUUGAAAACCUUGUGUCCUGGUGUCAGCCACCAAUCUAGUACUUCAUGUUCCUGGGUACCCAUGUCACCAGCAACUUCUCCUAGUCCCUCCAUACUGAUGAGUGAUCAAGAAAGCACAUCAGUGUGUGUUCUUUCUUAGCUGUCCAAGCAGAUUUAGCUUUUCCACGAGGAGUCUCUCAAAUGUCCAUUUCUGCGCAAUAGAAAGUACCUCUCAGUCUGGUGUGGAAACUGUUCUGCUCUGAACCAUUGGAACAUGCAGGGAGUGGUGAACACUGCCCAGCUAUCAAAGGCUCGACACUUACUUCCAUCCGGCCUGUUUUUCCAGUGCAUUGCUUCAGGAAGGCUGACAAUGAUGCCUGCUUCCCUGGCCAUUCCCUUUUCUCUCUUCUACCUUCUGGCAGAGAAUACCAGAGUACCAGAGUCAAAAACACUUUGGGGCUCAGACUUCAGGCUUCGGAACCAAUGAUAUCCCUUUGAUAUAAAUCUCAUCCCUUUCCCUGUGGUGCUCCCACCUUCUCGGGGUCUUAACUUCAACUCUCUUGGUUAUUCUGUUAUUGUCAUUUAAACAUUCCCUUUUCCACUACUUCACGUUACAUUGCCAUUGUUCCACCACUCUGUUGCUUUGUGCUUGUCAUUGUAUUUAUUGUGAUCAUGUGUACUGUUUACUCUGUAAGCUUCACAUGAGCAAUAUAUUUCUUUACAGGCUGAUGUACAAGACAAACUACUCUGAAACGGUGUAGGAUUAGUGGAAGUGGGUGCUUGAUGGAUGGCACAGACUUGAUGGGCUGAAGGGCCUAUUUCCAUGCUAUGAGGCUCUAUGAUUCUAUCAAGUUUCCUAUUACCAUUGCUGAGCCUUACUGCCAGCCACUGUGCCAUUGACCUGGCUAUUACAGCUGUGCCCUGAUAGGACAUGCCCCCCCACCCCGACAGAGCUAUCCAAAGGGAUAGAAUUGCUGCUAAGGGAAAUGGCACUGUCAAGGAGCUGCAGAUGGAGUCGGAAGCAGUCCAGGUCAUCCAACUCACAUCUACUGUGAUGAAGUGCCUUGAGAGGCUGGUCACGGCCAGAAUCAACUGCUGCCUAAGCAAGGACCUGGAUCCACUGCAAUUUGCCGAUGGUCUAGAGCAGAUGAAAUCUCACUGGCUCUCCACUCAGCCUGGAGCACCUGGACAAUAGCAAUAUCUAUGUCAGGCUGCUGCUUAUUGACUACAGCUCAGUGUUCAACACAAUCAUACCCUUAGUACCAAUCAACAAGCUCCAAAACCUGGGCCUCUGUACCUCCCUCUACAGCUGGAUCCCUGGCUUCACCUUCGGGAGACCACAGUCAGUGUGGACCGGCAAUAACAUCUUCUCCUCGCUGACAAUUAACACCGCAGCACCUCAAGGAUGUGUGCUUAACCCACUGCUCUACUCUCUCUAUACCCGUGACUGUGUGGUUAGGCAGAGCUCAAAUUACAUAUAUAAAUUUGCCGAUGAAAUGAGAAUUUCAUGUGGGGACGAGGAAGCUUAUGGGAGUGAGAUAAACCAAAGAACUGAUUGUGGACUUCAGGAAAGGGGAGCCGAGGGAACACACACUCGUCCUCAUCGAAGAAUCAGCAGUGGAAAGGAUAUUAAUUGCAGUGCACAAGCAUGGAACAAGUAAUCCAGCCAGACCAAACCGGCGGGAACCUGAAGAUCAGCCAGCUGAGACAAGAACUCAAAUCU